GGAAUGUGGCUCAAGCGGUACUGCGCUCGCCUGGCAUGCGUGCGGACCGGGUUCGAUCCUCAGCACCA
rnacentral:tRNA from 1 species